rnacentral:rRNA from 1 species
AACGAACGCUGGCGGCAGGCCUAACACAUGCAAGUCGAGCGAAGCCUUCGGGCUUAGCGGCGGACGGGUGAGUAACGCGUGGGAACGUGCCCUUUGCUACGGAAUAGCCCCGGGAAACUGGGAGUAAUACCGUAUGUGCCCUUCGGGGGAAAGAUUUAUCGGCAAAGGAUCGGCCCGCGUUGGAUUAGGUAGUUGGUGGGGUAAUGGCCUACCAAGCCGACGAUCCAUAGCUGGUUUGAGAGGAUGAUCAGCCACACUGGGACUGAGACACGGCCCAGACUCCUACGGGAGGCAGCAGUGGGGAAUCUUAGACAAUGGGGGAAACCCUGAUCUAGCCAUGCCGCGUGAUCGAUGAAGGCCUUAGGGUUGUAAAGAUCUUUCAGUGGGGAAGAUAAUGACUGUACCCACAGAAGAAGCCCCGGCUAACUCCGUGCCAGCCGCCGCCGUAAAAC